GUCAGCGUCUGUCCUCACCUGCUCUUGGCUCCACACCAUGGGCCACAGGCAGAACCAGGAUUGGCCUGAAGAAGCCAGCUGGCUGCAUGAGUUCCGGAGAGCAGAGCUCCAGCUGAAGAAAGGUGGCCUCCUCCCCGAAAACGGGAUGGAGGCUAGAUUAGGGGAGACUCCUCUGUCUGGCAAAAGAGAUGUCACCACAAACAAGCCCACACAUCCCAAAGCCUCCCAACCAGCCCCUCUGUGAAUCCAUGGAUGCAGUGACCCUGGCAAGCUUCACAUCUGCGCACUUCCCUCUGAGCGUAUCAGGUGAGCGCUGCAGACUCCGGAGAGGAGCCCCCCUCCAGGCUGAGCACACACCUGAACCCACUAUGCACAAAAGCUUGCCAUCACCAGCACCAGAUGGAAAAACUGAGGCUUAAAGGAAAGCAGUGAAGCUAAAACUCAAUUGUUGGUUCUGCUCAUGAAAGAGCCUCGGUGUGAGGAAGGAAAUAGCCCAGGAUGGAAACAGCACCCAAGGAAGCCUCUCGGGAAGGAGACAGCG